UUUCCCGUCUUGCUUUUACAAGUUAUAAUCAAAGCACUCUGAGCUUUCUCACUCUGGCUACCGCAAUAAUUUUUCAACGACACCAACAAGUUGACACUUGGCGAAGUUGUUUCAUUUCAGCCGGUUGCGUCUGCGCUUGUAAUUUUUAAUUAAGUUUAUUUUAGUGUUGAAAAGUUAAGUUUUCCUAGUUCUAAUGCUUUAGGAAAUGGUAACAGUGUGUGCUUCAGCAAUCCUAGUUCGGGAGGUUUGUGAAAUAAAUUAAGUGUGUGCUUUUGUUCGUGUGCAGCAGCGUUUUACGAGUCUCCUGUGAUGCAAUCUGUUUUGUGAACUUACGUAGGUAAGAAAUAUGAAUAUCACCAGCUACAAGUAGCAAGGAACUGUUUAUCAAACAGUAAAUCAAGUGCUUGAUGCAUUCUGCUAUUUUCAUCUUCAGAAUCAAUUUCUGCAUCCAAGCGUUGGGCUAUGUUAUUUAAAAAAUCCUCGUUCUUCAAAUUGUCUUCAAAAACAUUCUCUGCUUUUUUUCUUCCGCAGUUGUCGCUGACACAAAGCACAACAAGUGUGCUUGUUUGCAAUGUGUUCCUGGUUUUUUGGGAUCGUAUCAUUAUUGCUAUCGAAAUCUGGUAACAUAUCUACCAUAGACUCCAGGCUGCUGAUGCUCGAGUCCAGAUUUUGAGAUGUUUCCGACGACACUAUGGCAGCAGUAGGGUAUAACAAACUGACCCACUGAUAUAUAGCACCAAAAUAACUACGAAAGACAGUAUUUAAAGUUUAAAAUCACUCCUACGCGUAUAUGAAAUUUUGCCGGUAUGAAAAUGUAAACAUCUCAUUUGACAGCUUCGAAUAAAGGCAGAGUUGACACACACA